rnacentral:rRNA from 1 species
UACAGAGGGUGCAAGCGUUGUUCGGAUUUACUGGGCGUAAAGGGCGCGUAGGCGGCUUAACAAGUCACUUGUGAAAUCUCCGGGCUUAACUCGGAACGGCCAAGUGAAACUGUCAAGCUAGAGUGCAGAAGGGGCAAUCGGAAUUCUUGGUGUAGCGGUGAAAUGCGUAGAUAUCAAGAGGAACACCGGUGGCGAAGGCGGUUCUCUGGGCCUUACCUGACGCUGAGGAGCGAAAGCGUGGGGAGCGAACAGG